rnacentral:rRNA from 1 species
AACGCGAAGAACCUUACCUGGGUUUGACAUGUASGGAAAAGCCGAAAAGAUACGGAGUCCUUUUGGGUCCNUGCACAGCGUGGGGCAUGGGUGUCKUCAGAUCUUGUGGUGAGAUGUUGGGUUAAGUCCCGCAACGAGCGCAACCCUUGUGYUGUGUUUUCMGMAUGCCCUUUKGGGGGAUGGGGACUCACACGAGACCSCCCGGGUSCACUCUCAGGAAGAUGGGGACGACACCAAGUCAUCAUGCCCCUCAUGUCUUGGGCUGCACACGCUGCUACAAUGGCCCGUACAAUGAGCUGCGAUACCCGAGGKGGAGAGAAUCUCAAAAAACCCUGUCAS